UACGGGGGGGGCAAGCGUUGUUCGGAAUUACUGGGCGUAAAGGGCUCGUAGGCGGCCAACUAAGUCGGACGUGAAAUCCCUCGGCUUAACCGGGGAACUGCGUCUGAUACUGGAUGGCUUGAGUGUGGGAGAGGGAUGCGGAAUUCCAGGUGUAGCGGUGAAAUGCGUAGAUAUCUGGAGGAACACCGGUGGCGAAGGCGGCAUCCUGGACCGGCAUUGACGCUGAGGCGCGAAAGCCAGGGGAGCAAACGGG
rnacentral:rRNA from 1 species